rnacentral:rRNA from 1 species
AGAACUUUCCAGAGAUGGACUGGUGCCUUCGGGAACUGUGAGACAGGUGCUGCAUGGCUGUCGUCAGCUCGUGUUGUGAAAUGUUGGGUUAAGUCCCGCAACGAGCGCAACCCUUAUCCUUUGUUGCCAGCGGUCCGGCCGGGAACUCAAAGGAGACUGCCAGUGAUAAACUGGAGGAAGGUGGGGAUGACGUCAAGUCAUCAUGGCCCUUACGACCAGGGCUACACACGUGCUACAAUGGCGCAUACAAAGAGAAGCGACCUCGCGAGAGCAAGCGGACCUCAUAAAGUGCGUCGUAGUCCGGAUUGGAGUCUGCAACUCGACUCCAUGAAGUCGGAAUCGCUAGUAAUCGUGGAUCAGAAUGCCACGGUGAAUACGUUCCCGGGCCUUGUACACACCGCCCGUCACACCAUGGGAGUGGGUUGCAAAAGAAGUAGGUAGCUUAACCUUCGGGAGGGCGCUUACCACUUUGUGAUUCAUGACUGGGGUGAAGUCGUAACAAGGUAACCGUAGGGGAACCUGCGGUUGGAUCACCUCCUUACCU